rnacentral:rRNA from 1 species
CCCUCCAUUGUAAUCCUUAAUUGGNGUUGUAAAUGGUUUAUUCUAUUUAUUAUAUUUAUAGAGAAUAUUAUAUUCGUUAUUAAUAGAAUAGAAUAAUGUACUUGAGUAGAGCUGCUUGGUAGUGCAGUUUGAAUAAAGGUAGAAUGAAAUAUCUAAGGUUAAAUAUAAUGGUAUACCGAUAGAAAAUAAGUACUGCGAAGGAACUUGUGAAAAUGUGUGGAGUUUAGCCUNA